CUGGUCAUUUAAGGAAAUAAAGCCAAAUUGUAUGAUACUCUGUGGAUGUGUUGGCCACAAUUUCAAUAUAUUUAGUAUACCCAUGAAAAUCAAUACCAUAAGUAGUUUGAAUAGCAUUUUGAUUAUCACAGUAAAAAGUUGUAGUACUAUGAUGAGUGAGUCCUAUAUAACAAAUACUUGAGCUAGAUGAGUUCAUCCAUA
rnacentral:lncRNA from 1 species